CCUACGUGAGGCUGCAGUGAGGAAUAUUGGUCAAUGGCCGUAAGGCUGAACCAGCCAAGUCGCGUGAUGGAAGAAGGAUCUAUGGUUUGUAAACUUCUUUUAUAGGGGAAUAAAGGUAUCCACGUGUGGAUAUUUGCAUGUACCCUAUGAAUAAGCAUCGGCUAACUCCGUGCCAGCAGCCGCGUUACUACGGAGGAUGCGAGCGUUGUCCGAGGUUAUUGGGUUUAAAGGGUGCGGAGGUUGUUUUUUAAGUCAGCGGUGAAAGUUUGUGGGCCAACCCUAAAAUUGCCGUUGAAACUGGAGGACUUGAGUGUGUUUGAGGUAGGCGGAAUGCGUGGUGUAGCGGUGAAAUGCAUAGAUAUCACGCAGAACUCCGAUUGCGAAGGCAGCUUACUAGGCCAUAACUGACACUGAAGCACGAAAGCGUGGGGAUCGAACAGGAUUAGAUACCCGAGUAGUC
rnacentral:rRNA from 1 species